rnacentral:lncRNA from 1 species
AUUAGGAAUAUUUUGCAAACAUAUUAAUAGUGGGUUUGGAUAAAUCGACGCCAAUAUUAAAAGACACUAAAUAGGCCAUUUUUCAAAGCAGAUGUCACCGACAUGUCGAGACCACAUUUGCACAUGGUCGAUAAAUUAGGAAUAUUUUGCAAACAUAUUAAUUGUUGGUUUGGAUAAAUCGACGCCAACAUGAAAAGACACUGAAAAUAGGCCAUUUUUCAAAGCAGAUGUCACCGACAUGUCGAGACCACAUUUCCACAUGGUUGAUAAAUUAGGAAUAUUUUGCAAACAUAUUAAUAGUUGGUUUGGAUAAAUCGACGCCAACAUGAAAAGACACUGAAAAUAGGCCAUUUUUCAAAGCAGAUGUCACCGACAUGUCGAGACCACAUUUGCACAUGGUUGAUAAAUUAGGAAUAUUUUGCAAACAUAUUAAU